rnacentral:rRNA from 1 species
AGAGUUUGAUCAUGGCUCAGAUUGAACGCUGGCGGCAGGCCUAACACAUGCAAGUCGAGCGGUAGCACAGAGAGCUUGCUCUCGGGUGACGAGCGGCGGACGGGUGAGUAAUGUCUGGGAAACUGCCUGAUGGAGGGGGAUAACUACUGGAAACGGUAGCUAAUACCGCAUAAUGUCGCAAGACCAAAGUGGGGGACCUUCGGGCCUCAUGCCAUCAGAUGUGCCCAGAUGGGAUUAGCUAGUAGGUGGGGUAACGGCUCACCUAGGCGACGAUCCCUAGCUGGUCUGAGAGGAUGACCAGCCACACUGGAACUGAGACACGGUCCAGACUCCUACGGGAGGCAGCAGUGGGGAAUAUUGCACAAUGGGCGCAAGCCUGAUGCAGCCAUGCCGCGUGUGUGAAGAAGGCCUUCGGGUUGUAAAGCACUUUCAGCGGGGAGGAAGGCGUUAAGGUUAAUAACCUUGGCGAUUGACGUUACCCGCAGAAGAAGCACCGGCUAACUCCGUGCCAGCAGCCGCGGUAAUACGGAGGGUGCAAGCGUUAAUCGGAAUUACUGGGCGUAAAGCGCACGCAGGCGGUCUGUCAAGUCGGAUGUGAAAUCCCCGGGCUCAACCUGGGAACUGCAUUCGAAACUGGCAGGCUAGAGUCUUGUAGAGGGGGGUAGAAUUCCAGGUGUAGCGGUGAAAUGCGUAGAGAUCUGGAGGAAUACCGGUGGCGAAGGCGGCCCCCUGGACAAAGACUGACGCUCAGGUGCGAAAGCGUGGGGAGCAAACAGGAUUAGAUACCCUGGUAGUCCACGCCGUAAACGAUGUCGAUUUGGAGGUUGUGCCCUUGAGGCGUGGCUUCCGGAGCUAACGCGUUAAAUCGACCGCCUGGGGAGUACGGCCGCAAGGUUAAAACUCAAAUGAAUUGACGGGGGCCCGCACAAGCGGUGGAGCAUGUGGUUUAAUUCGAUGCAACGCGAAGAACCUUACCUACUCUUGACAUCCAGAGAACUUUCCAGAGAUGGAUUGGUGCCUUCGGGAACUCUGAGACAGGUGCUGCAUGGCUGUCGUCAGCUCGUGUUGUGAAAUGUUGGGUUAAGUCCCGCAACGAGCGCAACCCUUAUCCUUUGUUGCCAGCGGUCCGGCCGGGAACUCAAAGGAGACUGCCAGUGAUAAACUGGAGGAAGGUGGGGAUGACGUCAAGUCAUCAUGGCCCUUACGACCAGGGCUACACACGUGCUACAAUGGCAUAUACAAAGAGAAGCGACCUCGCGAGAGCAAGCGGACCUCAUAAAGUAUGUCGUAGUCCGGAUUGGAGUCUGCAACUCGACUCCAUGAAGUCGGAAUCGCUAGUAAUCGUAGAUCAGAAUGCUACGGUGAAUACGUUCCCGGGCCUUGUACACACCGCCCGUCACACCAUGGGAGUGGGUUGCAAAAGAAGUAGGUAGCUUAACCUUCGGGAGGGCGCUUACCACUUUGUGAUUCAUGACUGGGGUGAAGUCGUAACAAGGUAACCGUAGGGGAACCUGCGGUUG